rnacentral:misc_RNA from 1 species
GAUGAAGAACGCAGCGAAAUGCGAUAAUUAAUGUGAAUUGCAGAAUUUAGUGAAUCAUCGAAUCUUUGAACGCACAUUGCGCCCCCUGGUAUUCCGGGGGGCAUGCCUGUCCGAGCGUCAUUACAACCCUCAAGCUCAGCUUGGUGUUGGGCCCCGCCGCCCCGGCGGGCCCUAAAGUCAGUGGCGGUGCCGUCCGGCUCCGAGCGUAGUAAUUCUUCUCGCUCUGGAGGUCCGGUCGUGUGCUCGCCAGCAACCCCCAAUUUUUUUCAGGUUGACCUCGGAUCAGGUAGGGAUACCCGCUGAACUUAAGCAUAUCAAUAAGCGGAGGA